AAGCCAGCCAGCGAGUCUGCUUACCUAAACGCGUAUAGGCAGAGAUUUAGAUAAAGCUGGCAAUAAUUAUGCCAUGAUACAAGCCUUAAGGACAAGCAAAGUCAUUAAGGCCCCUGAGAAUGGCUACAACA
ensembl:snoRNA